AGCGAACGCUGGCGGCAGGCCUAACACAUGCAAGUCGAACGAAGCCUUCGGGCUUAGUGGCGGACGGGUGAGUAACACGUGGGAACGUACCUUUUGGUUCGGAACAACUCAGGGAAACUUGAGCUAAUACCGGAUGAGCCCAUAGGGGGAAAGAUUUAUCGCCGAAAGAGCGGCCCGCGUUAGAUUAGCUAGUUGGUGAGGUAAAGGCUCACCAAGGCUACGAUCUAUAGCUGGUCUGAGAGGAUGAUCAGCCACACUGGGACUGAGACACGGCCCAGACUCCUACGGGAGGCGGCAGUGGGGAAUCUUGCGCAAUGGGCGAAAGCCUGACGCAGCCAUGCCGCGUGAAUGAUGAAGGUCUUAGGAUUGUAAAAUUCUUUUACCAGGGACGAUAACGACGGUACCUGGAGAAAAAGCCCCGGCUAACUUCGUGCCAGCCGCCGCGGUAACAC
rnacentral:rRNA from 1 species